AGUCGAGGGGCAGCGAGGUUGUAGUUUACUAUAACUGUCGGCGACCGGCGCACGGGUGAGUAACACGUAUGCAACCUGCCCGUUGCAGGGGGAUAAGCGGAAGAAAUUCCGUCUAAUACCGCGUAAUAUGUGACCGAGGCAUCUCGGUUACAUUAAAGAAAUUCGGCAACGGAUGGGCAUGCGGCGCAUUAGCUAGUUGGCGGGGUAACGGCCCACCAAGGCGACGAUGCGUAGGGGUUCUGAGAGGAAGGUCCCCCACACUGGUACUGAGACACGGACCAGACUCCUACGGGAGGCAGCAGUGAGGAAUAUUGGUCAAUGGGCGCGAGCCUGAACCAGCCAAGUCGCGUGAGGGAAGACGGUCCUACGGAUUGUAAACCUCUUUUGUCGGGGAGCAACAAGUCACGAGUGACGUAAUGAGAGUACCCGAAGAAAAAGCAUCGGCUAACUCCGUGCCAGCAGCCGCGGUAAUACGGAGGAUGCGAGCGUUAUCCGGAUUUAUUGGGUUUAAAGGGUGCGUAGGCGGCAGAUUAAGUCAGCGGUAAAAUUGAGGGGCUCAACCCCUUACCGCCGUUGAAACUGGUUUGCUAGAGUAGAAGAGAAGUAUGCGGAAUGCGUGGUGUAGCGGUGAAAUGCAUAGAUAUCACGCAGAACUCCGAUUGCGAAGGCAGCAUACCGGCUUCCGACUGACGCUGAAGCACGAAAGCGUGGGUAUCGAACAGGAUUAGAUACCCUGGUAGUCCACGCAGUAAACGAUGAAUACUAAUUGUUUGGCCGGAAUGACGGCUGAGUGAUACAGCGAAAGCGUUAAGUAUUCCACCUGGGGAGUACGCCGGCAACGGUGAAACUCAAAGGAAUUGACGGGGGCCCGCACAAGCGGAGGAACAUGUGGUUUAAUUCGAUGAUACGCGAGGAACCUUACCCGGGCUCAAACGACAGGGGAAUUACGGUGAAAGUCGUAAGCUAGCAAUAGUCGCUGUCGAGGUGCUGCAUGGUUGUCGUCAGCUCGUGCCGUGAGGUGUCGGCUUAAGUGCCAUAACGAGCGCAACCCCUAUUGAUAGUUGCUAACAGGUUAUGCUGAGGACUCUAUCGAGACUGCCGGCGCAAGCUGUGAGGAAGGCGGGGAUGACGUCAAAUCAGCACGGCCCUUACGUCCGGGGCGACACACGUGUUACAAUGGCAGGUACAGCGGGAAGCCAGGUGGUGACACCGAGCGGAACCCGAAAACCUGUCUCAGUUCGGAUUGGAGUCUGCAACCCGACUCCAUGAAGCUGGAUUCGCUAGUAAUCGCGCAUCAGCCACGGCGCGGUGAAUACGUUCCCGGGCCUUGUACACACCGCCCGUCAAGCCAUGGAAGCCGGGGGUGCCUGAAGUGCGUGACCUAA
rnacentral:rRNA from 1 species